GUCUGGUGCCAGCAGCCGCGGUAAUUCCAGCUCCAAUAGCGUAUAUUAAAAUUGUUGCAGUUAAAAAGCUCGUAGUUGAAUUUCUGCUGCAUUUCAUCUUCUUUUUGAUGAGUUGGUGUAUUGUGGCUUAUUUCGGAUGAUACUUGUAUUAUCCGGAUGAUUACUUUGAGAAAAUUAGAGUGCUCAAAGCAGGCUUUUGCCUUGAAUAGUUUAGCAUGGAAUAAUAAAGUAGGACUUUGGUUCUAUUUUGUUGGUUUUAGGUACCAAAGUAAUGGUUAAUAGGAACAGUUGGGGGCAUUCGUAUUUAACUGUCAGAGGUGAAAUUCUUAGAUUUGUUAAAGACGAACUACUGCGAAAGCAUUUGCCAAGGAUGUUUUCAUUAAUCAAGAACGAAAGU
rnacentral:rRNA from 1 species